GGUUGUGGCUCAGUGGUAGAGUGCUCGCUUAGCAUGCAUAAGGCACUGGGUUUGAUCCUCAGCACCA
rnacentral:tRNA from 1 species